rnacentral:rRNA from 1 species
AGGGUGAAAGAAUUGACUUCUCGAGCCCGAGGGGGCCGCAGAGUCCAGGCCCAAGCGACUGUUUACCAAAAACACAGGUCUCUGCUAAGUCGAAAGACGAUGUAUAGGGGCUGACGCCUGCCCGGUGCCGGAAGGUUAAGUGGAGGUGUUAGCCGCAAGGCGAAGCACUGAAAUCAAGCCCCGGUAAACGGCGGCCGUAACUAUAACGGUCCUAAGGUAGCGAAAUUCCUUGUCGGGUAAGUUCCGACCUGCACGAAUGGCGUAACGAUUUGGGCACUGUCUCAGCCAUAGACCCGGUGAAAUUGUAGUAUCGGUGAAGAUGCCGAUUACCCGCGACAAGACGGAAAGACCCCGUGAACCUUUACUGCAGCUUGAUAUUGGAGCUUGGUGCACUUUGUCCAGGAUAGGUGGGAGGCUGAGAAGCGCGGACGCUAGUUCGCGUGGAGCCGUCCUUGGGAUACCACCCUUAGUGUAUUGGGCUUCUAACGGUAGGCCGUGAUCCGGCUACCGGACAGUGUCUGGCAGGCAGUUUGACUGGGGCGGUCGCCUCCUAAAAUGUAACGGAGGCGCGCAAAGGUUCCCUCAGCACGGUCGGCAAUCGUGCGUAGAGUGUAAAGGCAUAAGGGAGCUUGACUGCGAGACCAACAAGUCAAGCAGGUGCGAAAGCAGGCCUUAGUGAUCCGGCGGUAGCAAGUGGAAGCGCCGUCGCUCAACGGAUAAAAGGUACUCCGGGGAUAACAGGCUUAUCCUGCCCAAGAGUCCACAUCGACGGCAGGGUUUGGCACCUCGAUGUCGGCUCAUCGCAUCCUGGGGCUGGAGUAGGUCCCAAGGGUUGGGCUGUUCGCCCAUUAAAGCGGUACGCGAGCUGGGUUCAGAACGUCGUGAGACAGUUCGGUCCCUAUCUGUCGUGGGCGUAGGAGAUUUGAGGGGACUCGUCCCUAGUACGAGAGGACCGGGAUGAACAGACCUCUGGUGUAUCAGUUGUCGUGCCAACGCCACCGCUGGAUAGCUACGUCUGGUUCUGAUAACUGCUGAAAGCAUCUAAGCGGGAAGCAGACCCCGAGAUGAGAUCUCCCACCAGGCAACUGGGUAAGACCCCUGGAAGACUACCAGGUUGAUAGGCUGGAUGUGUAAGGGCAGUAAUGUCUUCAGCAGACCAGUACUAAUAGGUCGAGGUCUUGACUUA